ACCCUUUAAAUAUAUUACAACCCACUCAGCCGUCAAGAAAGGGCAAAGUAAAAACACCGCUUUUGGGUGAAGCAGCAGCAUGUUGUGCUGUUUUGCUUCAAUCAGUGGUGUGACAAGG